AACGAACGCUGGCGGCAUGCCUAACACAUGCAAGUCGAACGAGACCUUCGGGUCUAGUGGCGCACGGGUGCGUAACGCGUGGGAACCUUCCCUUAGGUUCGGAAUAACUCCCCGAAAGGGGUGCUAAUACCGGAUAAUGUCUUCGGACCAAAGAUUUAUCGCCUUUGGAUGGGCCCGCGUUGGAUUAGCUAGUUGGUAGGGUAAAAGCCUACCAAGGCGACGAUCCAUAGCUGGUCUGAGAGGAUGAUCAGCCACACUGGGACUGGGACACGGCCCAGACUCCUACGGGAGGCAGCAGGGGGGAAUAUUGGACAAUGGGCGAAAGCCUGAUCCAGCAAUGCCGCGUGAGUGAUGAAGGCCUUAGGGUUGUAAAGCUCUUUUACCCGGGAUGAUAAUGACAGUACCGGGAGAAUAAACUCCGGCUAACUCCGU
rnacentral:rRNA from 1 species